AGAUCGAUGAUGACCCCAAAAAUGCAUUCCUUGGAAAGCUGAACAAAAUGAGUGAGAACUCAUACUGUCGUCAUUCCCAUCAAAAACUGAGGUCC
ensembl:snoRNA SNORD116 Small nucleolar RNA SNORD116